rnacentral:rRNA from 1 species
CGCCGCGGUUAUACGAGUAGCUCAAGUUGACAGGCAUCGGCGUAAAGAGUGGUUAAUAGAACAUCAAACUAAAGCAAAACGCCUUCAAAGCUGUCAUACGCACCCGAAGGAGGGAAGACCCACAACGAAAGCGGCUUUAAACACUAUGACCCCACGAAAGCUAAGACA